GUCUGGUCUGAAGGUAAUGGAUAACUCAAUUGAUUGUUCAGUCAGUUAUAGAUUGAGCUCCUUGUUUUACUCCUUCUCCCAUUCUCACUACUGCACUUGACUAGCAAUA
ensembl:misc_RNA Y_RNA Y RNA